rnacentral:rRNA from 1 species
AUUGAACGCUGGCGGCAGGCCUAACACAUGCAAGUCGAGCGAGCGGCGGACGGGUGAGUAAUGUCUGGGAAACUGCCUGAUGGCGGGGGAUAACUACUGGAAACGGUAGCUAAUACCGCAUACCAUCAGAUGUGCCCAGAUGGGAUUGGCUAGUAGGGGGGGUAACGGCUCACCUAGGCGACGAUCCCUAGCUGGUCUGCGCGGAUGAACAGGCAAAAGGGCAAUGAGACACGGGCCAAGCCCCUACGGGAGGCAGGAGGGGGGAAAAUUGCACAAAGGGAGCAAGCCUGAUGCAGCCAUGCCGCGUGUGGGAAGAAGGCCUUCGGGUUGUAAAGCACUUGCAGCGGGGAGGCGUUACCCGCAGAAGAAGCACCGGCUAACUCCGUGCCAGCAGCCGCGGUAAUAC